ACACCCACGCGCCCACUCGCAUUUGUUGCGUUUUGUACGAAGGAAACACAGGUGUGUGUCCCGCCUUAGCUUUCGCGUCAGGCGUCACCGUCGUCUUUUUUUUUUCGUUUGCCGUGCACAGGAAGGUACAAAGGCGGUGCGUUGGCACUCAUAUCGCCCAGCUUCUUGGUGUUGAGACACUUCGCGCGCCGGCAAGGGCCACACUCCCGGUCCUUUGUGUGCGUGGUUUUGUUGGUUGUUUGUCUGUUGUUCGCCCCAUCUUCAGUAUGGUUCCUGCUUCCAAAAAUACUGCGUUUCUGUAUUUAUUUAUUCAGCUGCUAUCUUCUCUACGAUGAGGCCGGCGGGGACGAUCGCAUCGUUCAUGGAGCGCUGCAGCGCCAGAAAACCUGGUCGUGGCUGCGUAGUCCUCACCGGCGCGGGUUGCAGCACAGAGAGUGGCAUCCCAGACUAUCGUGGGCCCAACGGCCAGUACCACCGCGCCGAUUUCGUGCUGCUGACUUUUCAGAACUUUAUGCGCGACGACAACGAAAAACGACGCUAUUGGGCCCGCAGCAUGCUUGGGUACUCGACCAUAUCCGGUGCCUCCUGCAAUGCCGCUCACAUGGCGCUGCAGGCUUUCACCAAGUCCGGGGCCGUGGCACACAUCCUCACGCAAAACGUCGACGGGCUGCACCACCUCGCUACGUAUGGCGGCGUCGGUGACGCGGAGGAGGAGCACUACUACAAGUACACCACAAGUAAUGCGCCGCUGAAGGAGUUGCACGGCAACAUUCACAACGUCAUCUGCACGUCCUGCGGCUUUCUCAUGCCGCGCGCGCGGCUGCAGCGGGAACUGCGAGAAAGGAAUCCGGCUUUGUAUGAGCAGUACGGGGCGGAUAUGUCGCGUGUGCGGCCGGACGGCGACUACAGUGCACCAACGGAGGCCUUGAAUGCGAUGCAUCUCGUCAUGUGCCCUCGGUGCAACGGCUUCUUCAAGCCGCAUGUCGUUCUGUUCGGUGAGAACGUGCCGAAGCCGAUUGUGGAAACCACGAUGAAUGUUGUGCGCGACAAGGCUUCCUGUCUGCUGUGCCUCGGCACCUCCCUGCAGGUGUACAGUGCCUAUCGGUACGUCUUAGAGGCAAAGCAGUUAGGGAUUCCGGUGGCCAUCGUCAACGCUGGAAUGACGCGGGGCGACGCCAUUGCUGACCUCAAACUCAAUGUGGAGAGCGUCGGAAGCGUGUUGGCGGAGACGGCGCAUGAGAUGCUUGGCGUGCCGGCGUCCAUGUUCUUCCGCCGCAAGACGAUUCAACUCUAGCUACUCCAUCACACACGCUGUGAAGGGUGCACGGAUCGCUUUUUGACUUGGCGUCUCCGCGUGCGCCUCUCCAAACGCCGCUUCUCCCUCUCUCCUCUUGUUGUUUUUUGUUUGCACCCGGAUGACGGUAG
rnacentral:misc_RNA from 1 species